GGAAGUAUAGUUUAAUGGUACAGCUCUUGCCUCGCGUGCAAGAGGCUCUGGGCUCCAUCCCCAGCACCACCA
rnacentral:tRNA from 1 species